GACAUAUAGGUUGUAGGGAACUGAAAAGGACCGACCCUUCGGGAGCCUAUACAGGUGUUGCAUGGCUGUCGCCAGCUCGUGUCGUGAGAUGUUCGGUUAAGUCCGCUAACGAGCGCAACCCUCGUCGUAUGUUAUAUGUGUCAUACGAGACUGCCGGUAAAAAGCCGGAGGAAGGUGAGGAUGAUGUCAAGUCAGCAUGACCUUUAUAUCCCAGGGCUACACACACGCUACAAUGGUCUGUACAAUGGGUAGCCAAGCCGCGAGGCGGAGCCAAUCCUGAAAGCAGGCCUCAGUUCAGAUUGCAGUCUGCAACUCGACUGCAUGAAGCCGGAGUUGCUAGUAACCGCAGGUCAGCAAUACUGCGGUGAAUACGUUCCCGGGUCUU
rnacentral:rRNA from 1 species